rnacentral:lncRNA from 1 species
AUCAGGAUGCAGCAACAUUUUCAAACAGGAGAACAUCCUGAUAAAGGUCUAAACUAUGAUCCCAUGGACAAGGGAGGCUCAGUGAGUGGUUGGAGUUUCAGGAUUUCCAGUCUGAGGGCCUGCGUCUCUCCAGGAGUCCCAGGAAGUCCAGGCUCCAAUCAGGUCUCAAAGUUCCCUGCAACUAAGUGUUGCAUUCAUUUUCCCUGUCAAGAUCUUGGAAGAAUAGAGGCCAUGUUUGUACUGUACCAGCUCCUGAAACUGCCCUGCUUAGAAAACAGAUGGUAAUUGACUUGUAUUUGAGAGAGGCAGGCUGUAGACUCAUUCAUGUCUCCCUUUCGCAGUAUCCACAUUCUCUUUAAUAAGUGU